rnacentral:lncRNA from 1 species
UUGGAGAGUUGUGGGUUUUAAUGCAUGCAGCCUAUACUAACGCUGACUUGAAGGUGAAACGAAUCAAGCACAGGUCUUCGUGCCUCAGCCUCGUAAGCAGUCCGGUCAUCGAACAAGCCGACAGCUCCAGCACAUCGAGGUGUCAGUGAAAGAUACGUGCGAGACAUGAAACUGAACUGCAAUCACUGCUCCACUCCAUCUAGCACAGCUCUGCCUGAUCGCGGGCAGGGAACUGCUGCAGCCCUUGGACAAGCACAACAGCCAUCCUGAGACGUGUGGUAAUCUUGUCAAGAAUACAGCUGCUGAUUCUGUAAGAAAUUAAAAAACACUUAAUUAAAACCACAA